rnacentral:tRNA from 1 species
UGGGCAGUAGCUCAGUGGUGGAGCUCCCUCUUCGUAUGCGGGAAGAACUGGGUUCGAUCCACGGCUGCCUAC